rnacentral:rRNA from 1 species
CGGUAAUACGAAGGGGGCUAGCGUUGCUCGGAAUUACUGGGCGUAAAGGGAGCGUAGGCGGACAUUUAAGUCAGGGGUGAAAUCCCGGGGCUCAACCUCGGAAUUGCCUUUGAUACUGGGUGUCUUGAGUAUGAGAGAGGUGUGUGGAACUCCGAGUGUAGAGGUGAAAUUCGUAGAUAUUCGGAAGAACACCAGUGGCGAAGGCGACACACUGGCUCAUUACUGACGCUGAGGCUCGAAAGCGUGGGGAGCAAACAGGAUUAGAUACCCUGGUAGUCCACGCCGUAAACGAUGAUUGCUAGUUGUCGGGAUGCAUGCAUUUCGGUGACGCAGCUAACGCAUUAAGCAAUCCGCCUGGGGAGUACGGUCGCAAGAUUAAAACUCAAAGGAAUUGACGGGGGCCCGCACAAGCGGUGGAGCAGGUGGUUUAAUUCGAAGCAACGCGCAGAACCUUACCACCUUUUGACAUGCCUGGACCGCCAGAGAGAUCUGGCUUUCCCUUCGGGGACUAGGACACAGGUGCUGCAUGGCUGUCGUCAGCUCGUGUUGUGAAAUGUUGGGUUAAGUCCCGCAACGAGCGCAACCCUUAUCCUUUGUUGCCAGCGGUUCGGCCGGG